GCCAACCUAUCUAUUGCUGCAAGCUAUCCCUCACUGCUAAGCUAUCGCCGCUGCCAACCUAUCUAUUGCUGCAAGCUAUCGCCGCUGCCAACCUAUCUAUUGCUGCAAGCUAUCCCUCGCUGCUAAGCUAUCCCUCGCUGCUAAGCUAUCCCUCGCUGCUAAGCUAUCCCUCGCUGCUAAGCUAUCCCUCGCUGCUAAGCUAUCCCUCGCUGCUAAGCUAUCCCUCGCUGCUAAGCUAUCCCUCACUACUAAGCUAUCUAUCACUGCUAAUCUAUCGCUGCCAACCUAUCUAUCACUGCCAAUCUAUCUAUCGCUGCUAAUCUAUCGCUGCUAAUCUAUCACUGCUAAUCUAUCGCUGCCAAUCUAUCUAUCGCUGCCAAUUUAUCCACCACUGCCAAUCUAUCUAUUGCUGCUAAUCUAUUGCUGCUGCCAAUCUAUCUAUCGCUGCUAAUCUAUCGCUGCUAAUCUAUCGCUGCUAAUCUAUCGCUGCCAACCUAUCUACCGCGGCGAAUCUAUCUAUCACUAUCAUUACUAGUUCAAAAUAGAACUAGAGCAUAAAUACACUAAACUUCUUUUGAUAGGUAAUGAUUUUUGGUAACGCUCAUAGCAUUAUAUCAUCUAUAUAGGGUAAAUCAUGGUCCCAUUUGGUCCCAUUUUGUUAAAAUGGGACCAAAUGGGACCAGAAUCAGUAAUUUAUAAGAAGAACAUGACCUGGGACUAGAUUUAUAAUAUAAACAGUGUAAAGUGACUAAUUUAAUAAACACUAUAUGGGACCAG
rnacentral:sRNA from 1 species